rnacentral:tRNA from 1 species
UUAAGUAGAGCUUGAAAGUUAAGCAGUUCAUUUACAUUGAAACGAUCUUGUUCAAACAAGUGUUUAUA